AUUCUUCGGGGCGAGGUGCAACUCCUCACCGGUGGUAAAGUCCACGAGUCACAUGAUUGAAUCGGUGCAAUUCCGAUACCGACGGUAUAGUCCGGAUGAAAGAAGAG
rnacentral:ncRNA from 1 species